CUAGAAGCAGUUCCCUUUUGAAUUAGGCAGCCGUUUAAAAUGUACGUUUCAAUUUUGAUGGCAGUUUUUUAAUUGCAUUUAACAGCGUCCCUGCUGGUUCUUCAUUCAGCAUCUGUGCAGCCACGUUCUAUUGAUGGCCUGUUGUGAUUUCAAUGGAACAUCAUGGGAUGUACCUGGCACGUCGGGCAGCACUGGAUGGAGGUGCCUUUAGCCCAAUGUACCUGGCAUGCUCGAGACCAUUGAAGGGAAGAUUCUUCCCGUUCAGAGAAGAAAAAUCCUGUUCACAUUCACUGCUGUGCAGUGUGGCAGCUGGGGAGAAUAAGUGCCUACGCAAGCAAAGUGGUAAAGCGAAGGU
rnacentral:lncRNA from 1 species